AUGAGUUUCUAGGGGAUGGCGUGAGAUAAAAAUGCUUAGUUCGUCGAGUCAAUGUACGACAGUUUAUGAACUCUUCCCAAAGUGCCUUUGUGAAACUAGAUGCAGCUAGAACCGCGAGGCGCUAGCGAACUGUGUGUUCGUAUGUGCGUGUGCGCCUCUUUCUGUUAAAAGCGUUCAUACCCAAGCCUAUGAGAGGGAUUUUGACAGAGGGCUUCGAGUCAUAGGCAAAGAUGCCGUGGCAUUCGCCGGGGGAGUUUUUUGACAUAGUGUUUAGUGUCCGGUUGGGAAUGGAUGGUUCUGGAUUUCUGUGGGACAGAGUUCCCAGGGAAAGGUGUGACCUUUUGGGUGACUUGACAAUGAGUUGUUUUAAGUUAGUCUGUAAGACUGGAUUACUUAGUUAAUCGACUUAAUUUAGUUAUUGUAAAUAAACGUUAUGUUAUGA